GUGCUGCAGCGGCCUGGCUUGCUCAUCUUCUCCCUUGGUGUUGCUGCUGACUGGAUCUCCUGUACCCUGGUGGAGCUGAAUCCCAGACUCUGCAGUGAAGUGGUCCUUUUCUCCCACACUGAUGCGUGGUGACGUCCCUGGACUCGGCUAUUCAAAGCCCCGCUGAAGCAGAUAUUCUGUGCCGGCGCCAGGAGAAACACGGAGCUGACUCCAGGCUGGACUGGACUUGGUUGUUGUUUCACCCUGGGACAGAAUAUUGGACAAUCCAUGGUUCUAUUGUCUCCCCUGGUUUUUGAGGAGAUUGUGAUUUUAAUGUCAGUUUAAACUUAACUUUUAAACUAUUAAAAUGGCUGGGAGUCUAAA